AACGAACGCUGGCGGCAGGCUUAACACAUGCAAGUCGAACGCAUGCCUUCGGGCAUGAGUGGCAGACGGGUGAGUAACGCGUGGGAACCUACCCCUUGGUACGGGAUAGCUCCGGGAAACUGGAGAUAAUACCGUAUGUGUCCUGAGGGACAAAGAUUCAUCGCCAAGGGAUGGGCCCGCGUCGGAUUAGCUAGUUGGUGGGGUAACGGCCUACCAAGGCGACGAUCCGUAGCUGGUCUAAGAGGAUGAUCAGCCACAUUGGGACUGAGACACGGCCCAAACUCCUACGGGAGGCAGCAGUGGGGAAUAUUGGACAAUGGGCGCAAGCCUGAUCCAGCCAUGCCGCGUGAGUGAUGAAGGCCCUAGGGUUGUAAAGCUCUUUCACCGGUGACGAUAAUGACGGUAACCGGAGAAGAAGUCCCGGCUAACUUCGUG
rnacentral:rRNA from 1 species